UUUUAUUUAUUUAAUAAUAUCCUAGUAGAGAAUUCCUGCUUUAAUUCAAGGAAACUGUGAAACUGCUGAUGUCAAGUGUUAACAAAAUUGUUAUUCGUCAAGAAGCAUGUGCAGAAUCCAAGCAGAGAAGCUUCUACAUUUGUUUCUGCAUUUCUUUCCCGAUUGGAAAAUGAAAGUAGUAGUAAUAGAAAAAUAUCAAAAAGUUUAAUAUUUGAAAAAGCGAUUCCAGUUGGGAAAAUCAGAAAGAUUGUGCUUGCUUAGCUUGAUGCAAAUGUUUGAUGUCUGACUGUCCAGCUGAAAUAUUCGAACGAAAGCCUGGAGCCUGGUUACAUAUUUAACUACCAAUGGCCAAGAAUGUCUUUUUUUUUUUUUUUUUUUUCCGUUGUGUGUGUGUGUGUGUGUGCGUGUUCGGUAAAGAAUAGACCGGAAAGACCAAAUCCACAGGCAUUUAACACAAAUCUUGAGUAAUUUCUUUCAUUGGGUCAGUUUUUUGCAAGUUGUUAACAUAUAAUUGUUUCUUUAUCUUUAAAACACGUGACACAUUCACGCACACUCUUUUAAGCUAUAUCUCGAUGUCUUAUUAUUCAAUAUUUAGAGCAAACUUCAUGCAAUGAUACCUGCGCCAAAAUGUGCAAAUAAUAACACGAUAAUAUUAAAAAAUUAAUCAAAUAAAUACUUGAUUAGAAUUAA